CUACAUUUAACUAUAUUUGACUACAUUAUAAAAACUCACUGGAAACACUGCAUAUAACCUUAACUACAUUUACCUAGAUUUGACUACAUUUUAAAAAUUCACUGGAAACACUUCAUAUAACCUUAAUUACAUUUAACUACAAUUGACUACAUUUGAAAAACUUACUGGAAACAAGUUCAACAGCUACUACUUUUACAUCUUGGAGGGUAAGGAACUUGAGUUUUACAAGAAGAAACUCCAGAGAAAGAAGGAAAGGGUGCCAGUGGUGCUGCUUAGAGUUGCACCUCCAUUUACUAGUUAAAGAUGGCUCGUACUAAGCACGGCCCAAGCCUAUCAUUUGUUAGAUUAAAUUAUUAUAGAAUUAAGUAUAUUAUGGUGAAUUAGAUAUUAUACAUGUAUGUUAUGUAGUUUCACCAAGGGACUGUAAUAUUCUAGAAGUCUCGUCAUCAGUAUAUGCUUGGCGUGAUACCAAAAAUACAUUUCGAUACAAAUGAAUGAAAGGAUUAAUAGAUAUUUAAAAGGCUACCACAAAGAAAUAAA
rnacentral:lncRNA from 1 species